rnacentral:rRNA from 1 species
AAGCAUAUCAAUAAGCGGAGGAAAAGAAACCAACAGGGAUUGCCCCAGUAACGGCGAGUGAAGCGGCAGCAGCUCAAAUUUGAAAUCUGGGGUCCCCGACCUCCGAGUUGUAAUUUGGAGAGGCAUCUUCGGGGGGGAGCGCCGGCCCAUGUUCCUUGGGACAGGACGUCACAGAGGGUGAGAAUCCCGUGCCUGGCCGGCUGCCUCCUCCCGGGUGGAGGGCCUUCGACGAGUCGAGUUGUUUGGGAAUGCAGCUCCAAGUGGGUGGUAAAUUUCAUCUAAAGCUAAAUACCGGCGGGAGACCGAUAGCGCACAAGUAGAGUGAUCGAAAGAUGAAAAGCACUUUGAAAAUAGAGUCAAAAAGUACGUGAAAUUGUUGAAAGGGAAGCGCUUGAGACCAGACUCGGGCCUGGGCAAACAUCGCGCCCCUCGGGGCCGUGCAAUUGCCCGGGCCUGGGCCAGCAUCAGUUGGCGUGGCGGGACAAAGGCGCGGGGAAUGUGGCUCCCCUCGGGGAGUGUUAUUAGGCCCGCGCUCAAUGCCGCCGACGCCGACUGAGGACCGCGCCUCGGCUAGGAUGCUGGCUUAAUGGCCUUCAGCGACCCGUCUUGAAACACGGACCAAGGAGUCUAACAUCUAUGCGAGUGUUUGGGCGACAAACCCUUGCGCGGAAUGAAAGUGAGCGGAGGUGGGAACCCCCCCGCGGGGCGCACCAUCGACCGAUCCUGAUGUCUUCGGAUGGAUUUGAGUAGGAGCAUAGCUGUUGGGACCCGAAAGAUGGUGAACUAUGCCUGAAUAGGGUGAAGCCAGAGGAAACUCUGGUGGAGGCUCGCAGCGGUUCUGACGUGCAAAUCGAUCGUCAAAUUUGGGUAUAGGGGCGAAAGACUAAUCGAACCAUCUAGUAGCUGGUUCCUGCCGA